rnacentral:rRNA from 1 species
AGAGUUUGAUCAUGGCUCAGGACGAACGCUGGCGGCGUGCUUAACACAUGCAAGUCGAACGAAAAGAGGGAAAGAGCUUGCUCUUUCCGGAAUUGAGUGGCAAACGGGUGAGUAACACGUAAACAACCUGCCUUCAGGAUGGGGACAACAGACGGAAACGACUGCUAAUACCGAAUAAGUUCCAAGGGCCGCAUGGCCCAUGGAAGAAAAGGUGGCCUCUACCUGUAAGCUAUCGCCUGAAGAGGGGUUUGCGUCUGAUUAGCUGGUUGGAGGGGUAACGGCCCACCAAGGCGACGAUCAGUAGCCGGUCUGAGAGGAUGAACGGCCACACUGGAACUGAGACACGGUCCAGACUCCUACGGGAGGCAGCAGUGGGGAAUCUUCCGCAAUGGGCGAAAGCCUGACGGAGCAACGCCGCGUGAGUGAUGACGGCCUUCGGGUUGUAAAACUCUGUGAUCCGGGACGAAAAGGCAGAGUGCGAAGAACAAACUGCAUUGACGGUACCGGAAAAGCAAGCCACGGCUAACUACGUGCCAGCAGCCGCGGUAAUACGUAGGUGGCAAGCGUUGUCCGGAAUUAUUGGGCGUAAAGCGCGCGCAGGCGGCUUCCCAAGUCCCUCUUAAAAGUGCGGGGCUUAACCCCGUGAUGGGAAGGAAACUGGGAAGCUGGAGUAUCGGAGAGGAAAGUGGAAUUCCUAGUGUAGCGGUGAAAUGCGUAGAGAUUAGGAAGAACACCGGUGGCGAAGGCGACUUUCUGGACGAAAACUGACGCUGAGGCGCGAAAGCGUGGGGAGCAAACAGGAUUAGAUACCCUGGUAGU